rnacentral:RNase_P_RNA from 1 species
GUGUGGCAGCGUGGAGCGAUCCAUGAGGAAAGUCCGAGCAUCACAGGACAGGAUAACUGCUAACGGCAGCCGAAGGCGACUUCAGGGAAAGUGCAACAGAGAGAUACCGCCGGGGUUUCCCCGGUAAGGGUGGAAAGGCGAGGUAAGAGCUCACCGGGGCAAGGGGAACCUUGCCGCCAUGUAAACCCUAUCCGAUGCAACACCAGCUGGGAGGCGAUCACUGGUCCGGUGCUCCCGAAAGGUGGCUUGAGCGGCGCGGCGACGCGUCGUCGAGAUAGAUUGUCACACACGACAGAACUCGGCUUACAGGUCCUCUCA